CAGGAACCUCAUAGGACUGGCAGCAAAAGAAAAACCACCCUGAGUGUGUUUGCCCCAAAGGAGGAGUUUUCAGCACGUGACCUGUGGCCGCACCACCUGGCGUGCUUCCCAGCACUCAGUGAAAGGUUUUCCAGAAGACAAAAGUGAAGACUUCAUUCCAGUAUGUGUUUGCAAACUCCUUUGAUUUACAGGCACAUACCAACUGCUCCCAAGAUAAUGGUGGCCAUCCUGGAGAGCUCUGGAGGUUUUGGUACACCUUCCAAACAUAAUCAGCCCUGCUUUUUCUCACAAAGUAGCAUUUGUAAUUCUUACAUCACCUACCCUGUUCAGCUUUGAGCAUGCUCUGCUUGUUAUCAGCGUGCUAACCCCAAAGACAAAGGCCAAUGCCACACCUGGCUGCUGGGUUAAGUGCUUGCUACUCAUCUUUUAAGAUCAGCUGAAUCCUCUACCUUACUUCUGUCAACAUCAAGCACCGAGAACAAAGGCACAAGAUUACAGGGAUCUCAUUAAAUAAGUUUGUUCUAAGAGCAAGAAAUGUGUAUACUUUCCUCUGAUGACCCGGGGAAACAAAAAAGCUCUUCAGCAUAGAAAAUUUAUUUGUAAUCAAUUAUGUGAUUCCGUUAAGAAGGGGGGAGAGGAAAUCUACCUGUCCUAAGCUUUCUAUACCAAGACCUUGUAAACAGCAUCGUUCAGUUUGAAACAGAAAGCAGGGAUGUACGUACCUGAAAAACACCAACGCAUGCACACAGACAAAAGAAUCCCUUAGGAUAUUAAGCGAGCCAUUUAACUAAGUAUUUAAAACCUCUGCAAUUAUUAGUUUAUUAGUAUCAUCCAGGAUUCAGAUGUUCAAUAUUUCUCCUGAAGUUAUACAUAAAUGCAAAUUGAAAUAAGAAUCUGAAAGUCAAAAUUGUAUAACAAAACAAUACUCCAUCACAAAAGCGUGUAAAAUUACAAGAAUGCUGUUUUUUUUUUUUUUUUUUAAACACUGGCACUUAAGAGAACCAUAAUUUUGUAACCACAAAAUUGCCAAAUUGUCCCCCAAACUGGUAAGCAGGUAUAUGUGAAAAUAGUUAAUAGUUGCCAGCACUUGAAGUUUUACUAAAUAUGCAAAAACACCCUCAGCUUUGGUUUUGGAAGAGAACUCUAUUUGACCAAAUUAGACAUUGUUGGUAUACCAUAAACAUUUCAUUUUUAAUGCAAAAUUUAAUAAAAUGUACUUUUCCAUACAGCUAUAUUUAACUUAAAAAUGGGCAAACAUCAAGAGUGCGGUAUAAAACCUAACAGGAAAAAUACAUCUUAUCUCAUUUUCAAUUUGAGACAAUAUACAACUUUGUUUAAAGGGCUAAAACUAGAAUUUCAAGAAUACAAAUAUGAAUUUACAUAGAUUUAACAAAUAAUAAUGGUACCAUUUAUAGAAAUCUUAGAAAGAAAAAUCAUUUCUCGUGGGCCAUUUGCUACCAGGAGAGUUUCAUGGUAUAAAGCCCGUGGCCACCACCAGACCUGUCACCAAAAAAUAACAUGGUAAUUUCAUGCUUUUAACUUUACACAUUUUAGGUACGCUCAUCGCUCUCAAGUGUUCAGAGAUUUACAAAUACAACUUCCAUUACAUAGUAACGGAGUCACACAUGUAAAUUUCUCUACACCGGCUGGACAUACACUCUUCCUAUGGGUCCUUCUAGGACAGAAUUUAAACAUUCCCUCCCUCCCCACCCCCACCCCCCAAGUAUUUAAUUUCUGUAAAAUUGAACUCUAUACUUCUCAACUCUCCAAGACUGGUAAACUCAUGCAACUCAAUAGAAUAUUACAUUUCACAAAAAAAUCCGAACAAAUAUCAGUUUGUUGAGAUUGAAUUUUGUGUUUUGUUUCCAGUUACGGAAGAAUAUUCUUUCAUCAUAUGCCUAUAUAUUUCUUUUCUUACCCUAUCAUGUUUAUGCAGGGUAUGCAGAUCAAAGCUUUGUUUAUCAGCUGGUUAUAUGAAAGAUGAAAACUGUAAUAUUCCCGUGAUCCCAAACGGGCAUUCAAUAAAGCAAAAGAUGAGUUCCCCACAAAAAAAAAAAAAAAAAAAAAAAAAAAAAAAAGA